UCUGGUACUUGUAUCAGAAUGAAGAGUAGCGAACGGGUGAGUAACGCGUGGGUAACCUACCUCUUAGCGGGGGACAACUAUUGGAAACGAUAGCUAAUACCGCAUAACAAUAUUAAACACAUGUUUAACAUUUGAAAGUACCAAUUGGUACACUAGGAGAUGGACCCGCGUUGUAUUAGCUAGUUGGUAGUGUAAUGGACUACCAAAGCGAUGAUACAUAGCCGACCUGAGAGGGUGAUCGGCCACAUUGGGACUGAGACACGGCCCAAACUCCUACGGGAGGCAGCAGUAGGGAAUCUUCGGCAAUGGACGAAAGUCUGACCGAGCAACGCCGCGUGAGUGAAGAAGGUUUUCGGAUCGUAAAACUCUGUUGUUAGAGAAGAACGUUGUGUAGAGUGGAAAAUUACACAAGUGACGGUAUCCAACCAGAAAGGGACGGCUAACUACGUGCCAGCAGCCGCGGUAAUACGUAGGUCCCGAGCGUUGUCCGGAUUUAUUGGGCGUAAAGCGAGCGCAGGUGGUUUAAUAAGUCUGAUGUAAAAGGCAGUGGCUCAACCAUUGUGUGCAUUGGAAACUGUUAGACUUGAGUGCAGUAGAGGAGAGUGGAAUUCCAUGUGUAGCGGUGAAAUGCGUAGAUAUAUGGAGGAACACCGGUGGCGAAAGCGGCUCUCUGGACUGUAACUGACACUGAGGCUCGAGAGCGUGGGUAGCAAACAGGAUUAGAUACCCUGGUAGUCCACGCCGUAAACGAUGAGUGCUAGUUGUUUGGGGCUAUCCAGCCCUAAGUGACGCAGCAAACGCAUUAAGCACUCCGCCUGGGGAGUACGACCGCAAGGUUGAAACUCAAAGGAAUUGACG
rnacentral:rRNA from 1 species